CAGGAUUCCCCUAGUAACUGCGAGUGAAGCGGGAAAAGCUCAAAUUUAAAAUCUGGCGGCCUCCGGCUGUCCGAGUUGUAAUCUAGAGAAGUAAUGCCCGUGCUGGACCGUGUACAAGUCUCCUGGGAUGGAGCGUCAUAGAGGGUGAGAAUCCCGUCUCUGACACGGACUACCAGUGCAUUGUGGUAUGCUCUCAACGAGUCGAGUUGUUUGGGAAUGCAGCUCAAAAUGGGUGGUAAAUUCCAUCUAAAGCUAAAUAUUGGCGAGAGACCGAUAGCGAACAAGUACCGUGAGGGAAAGAUGAAAAGAACUUUGGAAAGAGAGUUAAACAGUACGUGAAAUUGCUGAAAGGGAAACGCUUGAAGUCAGUCGCGUUGGCCAGGGAUCAGCCUUGCUCUUGCAUGGUGUACUUUCUGGUUGACGGGUCAGCAUCAAUUUCGACCGCUGGAAAAGUUCCUGGGGAAUGUGGCAGCUUCGGCUGUGUUAUAGCCCCAGGUUGCAUACAGCGGUUGGGAUUGAGGAACUCAGCACGCCGAAAGGCCGGGUUUCGACCACGUUCGUGCUUAGGAUGCUGGCAUAAUGGCUUUAAGCGACCCGUCUUGAAACACGGACCAAGGAGUCUAACAUGCCUGCGAGUGUUUGGGUGGAAAACCCGAGCGCGCAAUGAAAGUGAAAGUUGAGAUCCCUGUCGUGGGGAGCAUCGACGCCCGGACCAGAACUUUUGGGACGGAUCCGCGGUAGAGCAUGUAUGUUGGGACCCGAAAGAUGGUGAACUAUGCCUGAAUAGGGUGAAGCCAGAGGAAACUCUGGUGGAGGCUCGUAGCGAUUCUGACGUGCAAAUCGAUCGUCAAAUUUGGGUAUAGGGGCGAAAGACUAAUCGAACCAUCUAGUAGCUGGUUCC
rnacentral:rRNA from 1 species